AACGAACGCUGGCGGCAGGCCUAAUACAUGCAAGUCGAGCGCGCCCUUCGGGGUGAGCGGCGGACGGGUGAGUAACGCGUGGGAAUAUGCCCUUCUCUAAGGAAUAGCCUCUGGAAACGGAGAGUAAUACCUUAUACGCCCUUUGGGGGAAAGAUUUAUCGGAGAAGGAUUAGCCCGCGUUAGAUUAGGUAGUUGGUGGGGUAAUGGCCUACCAAGCCUACGAUCUAUAGCUGGUUUGAGAGGAUGAUCAGCCACACUGGGACUGAGACACGGCCCAG
rnacentral:rRNA from 1 species